UGGAAGGGGUAUUUAGGAUACUAAGGAAAAAAGGUAACCAAAUUAAAAAACUAAGAAAAGGAUAGUUUUUGGAAAAAAGCUCAUAAAGAGCCUUUUUAGAAAAACAUCCAAGAUUCAACAUCAAAACAAUUCAAAAGACUUGGCGUUGAGGUUUUGGCAAAACUCAUUAUAUAUCUAUGAUUCUUGUAAUCCAUAUCAAGAUUUUUAUUAAAAAAAAAAUAGAUACUCAAGUUAGAUUUAUAUGGUUAUAAUAUUCUGAAUGGUUAAUUGGACGUAGAAAAUUAGCAGAGUGAAAUAUAUAGAUAUACCAUGUGUUGUCGUUCUUAGAUUAUACCAAAUGGAUUUUUAUAGUACUUAUGUUUAAUCAACACACUUAUAUUAUAUUAAGAUAUUUGUUGAUCAAAUUUGGGAUUGAUAUAGCAAUACCACACACUUGAAUCUUUCCAACAAGAUCUUAGUAAAAAAAUGGAUACUCAAAUUAGAUUUGAAUGGAUAUAUACUUCGGAUGGUUAAGUGAGUUCAGUGAAAUAUGUAGAUAGACUAUUUGUUGUCUUUUUUAAAUGACACUUGAUGAGUUUUUUCUAAUUUUAUUAUGAUAUUUGUUGAUCAAAUUUGGGAUUGAUAUUGAUAGCCGGAUUUAAGAACAACACAAUCUGAAUUGAUAUUUAGCAUGCAUUGCCUGUAGAGAACAAAGAACAGUGAUGCGCAUAUACCUGACUUUUGGCGAGAUCUAUAAGCGCUGAGGGGGGAAAUUGGGAGUUACCACACGUAACAGUUCCUUUGACAUUACUGAGAUGCCGACCAUAAACGACUAGAAGAAAAGAGAGAGCUGUGACGGCCUGCAAGUUGGCCAUCGACGCUUUGUGUAUGAGACCGCCUACACACUUGCAUGGGUUAGUUAUUACAUCUGCUCUAAACAGGGAUUUUGCAAUUAUAUAUAUAUAUAUAUAUAUAUAAUUUGAUCGAGAAGUGCAUUCUUUAUGCUAAUNNNNNNNNNNNNNNNNNNNNAAUAUAUAUAUAUAUAUAUAUAUAUAAUUUGAUCGAGAAGUGCAUCUUUAUGCUAAUGAAUUAAUGAAAUCAGGAACAUUUGGUUUGGGGGAGACAUGCAGACCUGGAGUGUAUUCGGUGGAGAUGUAGGGAGACUGUGGCAGCAGUGAACAUGCAAAGUUCUGGGCGUAUCUACUGUAGUCAUCAUCAGUCUGCAACAAAAGAUUUAAUUAUUGUAGUGUCCCCAAAAAAAUAUAAAAUAAUUAGUCUAUCUUCACCACUAAUUUAACCAUUUCAUCUUUUUGUAACACGUUAAUUCUAUUUCAAAUAAUUCUUUC
rnacentral:lncRNA from 1 species